rnacentral:rRNA from 1 species
GAUGAACGCUAGCUACAGGCUUAACACAUGCAAGUCGAGGGGCAGCGGGGAUCUAGCUUGCUAGAUUUGCCGGCGACCGGCGCACGGGUGAGUAACACGUAUCCAACCUGGCCCAUACUCGGGUAUAGCUUCUCGAAAGGGAGAUUAAUCCCCGAUGUUGUUGUUUCACCGCAUGGUGUACCAACCAAAGAAUUUCGGUAUGGGAUGGGGGUGCGUUCCAUUAGCUUGUUGGCGGGGUAACGGCCCACCAAGGCGACGAUGGAUAGGGGUUCUGAGAGGAAGGUCCCCCACACUGGGACUGAGACACGGUCCAGACUCCUACGGGAGGCAGCAGUGAGGAAUAUUGGUCAAUGGGCGAGAGCCUGAACCAGCCAAGUAGCGUGAAGGAUGACUGCCCUACGGGUUGUAAACUUCUUUUGUUUGGGAAUAAAGUUCAGCACGUGUGCUGUUUUGUAUGUACCAUUCGAAUAAGCAUCGGCUAAUUCCGUGCCAGCAGCCGCAGUAAUAC